rnacentral:lncRNA from 1 species
GUUAUGAGAGCUCGACAAUGAUUAAAUGGUCCAUUGAAUUUUUUUUCUAUAUGGCACCACUAGCAAAUUGGCACGUUUUGCGGCCGGUUGGAAUACAUAUGGAAAAAAAUUAAGUAUAUAUUCUUUGUCACUGAACGUAGAAUAUCUCAACUUUGCUAGCCAAUACGAAGUGGACAUAUAAGUGAUCGGUUAUGAGAGCUCGAUGGAUCAGAUUGGAAGAAGAGAAAGAAAGGUCAAUAUUCGAAUUAGGGGCUUUCACAGAGUUGAGCAGCACUUUUUUUUUAAACCACUAAAAAGUUGUUAUCUUUGUUUCAUUUUACUUAUAGUUUGAUUGGGGC